ACUCCAUUUAAGGGCUGACUGCUGUAGGGAAUGGGUUUCUUUCUGGAGAUCUCUCCUUAGUUUUAGCUUAGGGGAGCUUUGCCCUGUGAACCUGGAAUCUUCUGAUACAGGUGUAUGAAACUUAAAGGCAGUUCUAUCUUGUAAGCUCCUGGAGAUACUGUUGGCUGUGUUGGGCAGCAUCAUACAGAUGUGCCUGUCUUUGAGAUCUUCUGGAGUCCAGCUGCUGAGCAAAGCAGGGAAAUUGAAGUUCACUCAUCCAAACUGCUCUGACUACAGCAAUUGUGGCACAGCAAUUUAUGGGAAGACAAGGGAAGAAAGAAAGGCUAAACACAUUUAAUUCCUCAGGGCUGCACAGGCCUGUGGAAAAUCUCAGCCUUGGGACUGAGAAAAGAGAACAAACCUGAACUCUUCCCCAUCACCAGCAGAAAAACAACUUUGUAAUUCAAAGACUUUGCUGUUUUGUUGUCAACAGAUUAGAAAGGCAGAGAGAUAUUCCCACUUGUGUCAGGUUGGAUUGCAAUUUAACAUUAAAAUAGGAUUGUCUGUCUGCAAAUCUAUUUGUGGCUAUUUCUGAACUUUUCUUGACAAAAGCAAGGAAAAGUGAUCUAUAAAUCAUCAUGUUACAGAUGUCUUACGUUAUCCCGGUUGGUUUUAGGAACAGAAAAGGUAUAUUUGUUUCUUCAUUUCCCCACACUUAUCCUUAAAAUGCAGCUUUGGUUUUAUCUUCGUUAAACAGAAAUGACCUUUCUGUCAGUAGCUUGGCUGAUAAUGUUGUGCAAGCCUUUGGCAAUGACAGUGCGCAGUGGGGAUUGUGUUGGAUAUAUGCAGAUCCAUUCUUUCAAAACAAGAAUAGAAACAUGAUUGCACAUUUUUGUAGCACCAUGUAAAACUGAAUAAGUGAGCUUACCUUUUCCUGCACUGUCUGUUGCAGCACUGAUUGAUAGCUGCUGUAGGGAGCUCAGGGCUGCGGUUUUGGGGGGAGUGAGGCAAGACUGGUGUUUGUGUCCCUUUCCAGCUGUUCUCCCCCACUUCCAGUGAAAUGGGUUGUACCAUGUUUUCUGUGCAUCCUUAUUUUUCUCUCCCUUUGUAACUUUUUCCUGCUUUUUACAGUGAUCUUUGAAAACAAUCUGUAUUAUUGUGGCAUAGUUUUCUAAAACUGCUUACUUAAGAAGCUGUGUAUUUGACAGAACCUAAGGAAACAAAGACUGAGUGUAGCUGUGAAAAAGAAAAACAAUGUUCAUUUGUUUACAUUUACUGAAUACACCAGGAAGGCAACACUGGUGAUUUCAGUUAGAUUUGUUUGGAGAGAGCUCAGCAUCUUCUACCAUGGCUAUCAGAGAGCUGUCUGAAGCCAGGAACCCUUACAUUAUAGUUGGAACUAGAUGCUUACAUUAUAGUUGGAGCUAGGUGGAGGAAAAUUGCACAAAAACAUCUUUUAAUCCAACACCAAUGAGGUUUUCAGAUUAAAAAGAAGAAAAAAAGCUCUCCAAAAGCUUUUGCUUUUAAUUUCAAGCUUUAUUUAUGUUUUGAAAGAUAGAUACCAGGUUUUCUAUUGUAUUAACAUUUCUUUUCCUUUUUCCUUUUUUUCUUCAGAAAUUUUUCAGGUAUUGAUGGAAGAAAGAAACCAUUUCCAUCUAAAACUCCUAUUAAAAGCAAAAGGCACCUAAAUUCUGCACAUACUUUUCAUGCUAGCAUAUUAAUGUGUUUUCUGGCCAGUGGCAGUUCUUAGUCUCAGUAGAAGCUCAUAAUUGGAGUUUGCUAAG